rnacentral:rRNA from 1 species
UAGUGAGACUGUGGACGGCUCAGUAAAUCAGUUAUAAUCUGUUCGAAAGUAUGCCCAUUGGAUAACCGUGGGAAAUCUAGAGCUAAUACAUGUAGCAGGGCGUUUAGCGAUAGACGUCGGCAUUUAUUAGAAAAAACCGGGUACUGUGUGAACAGUAGGGUGAGUCUAGAUAACUGAGCAGAUCGCAUGGCCUAGAGCCGGCGACGUUUCGAUUGAAUUUCUGCCCUAUCAACUCGUUGGUAAGGUAGAGGCUUACCAAGGUUGCAACGGGUAACGGGGAAUCAGGGUUCGAUUCCGGAGAGGGAGCCUGAGAAACGGCUACCACAUCCAAGGAAGGCAGCAGGCGCGUAAAUUACCCAAUCCAGACAAUGGGAGGUGGCGAACAAAAGUACUGAAUGGUAGAUGUUUAUCUACUAAAUUCGGAAUGAGCAUAAAGUAAAAAGUUAGUCGAGUAACAACUGGAGGGCAAGUCUGGUGCCAGCAGCCGCGGUAAUUCCAGCUCCAGUAGCGUGUAGUAAAGUUGUUGCGUUUAAAACGCUCGUAGUUGGAUGAUACGGUGCUAAUCGGUUGAUCGAUGCAAUGAGCAAGUAAACUUGCAAAGGGGCGAUCAUUGGUUGAUUCUAGUGAGGACUCUGAUGUGAGUGUUCAGAGUGGAGGUUGUAAGCCGAGUAGUGCUACUUGCAUGCGAGAACGGCAGUUGGCCUUUAGUGCGUUGAUUGUUGUGUCUCGCAGAGUGUGCCUUGAAUAAAUCAGAGUGCUUAAAGCAGGUCGUAGCCUGAAUGAUACAGCAUGGAACGAACAAACGUGUAAGUGUGCGUUGGAAACGGGAAACCGAUCGAGCGUACAUAUCACCAGCCACUGGUACGGAUGUCGGUUUCCGUACAAGGGUGAUGAUUAAAACGAGCGGUUGGGGGCAUUGGUAUUUGGCCGCGAGAGGUGAAAUUCUUAGACCGGCCAAGGACUAACAAAAGCGAAGGCAUUUGCCAAGACCGUCUCGAUUGAUCAAGAACGAUAGUGAGAGGUUCGAAGACGAUCAGAUACCGUCCUAGUUCUCACCGUAAACAAUGCCGACCCGGGAUCAGUUUGGAGCUAAUAUCAACGCUCGAGGUUGGUCCCCCUGGGAAACCUAAAGUGUUUGGGUUACGGGGGGAGUAUGGUCGCAAGGCUGAAACUUAAAGGAAUUGACGGAAGGGCACCACCAGGGGUGGAGCCUGCGGCUUAAUUUGACUCAACACGGGACAACUUACCAGCGCAGAACGUUAAAAGGAUAAUCUGACCGACAGCUCAUAUUUGAUAUGAUGUGUGGUGGUGCAUGGCCGUUCUUAGUUCGUGAAGCGAUUUGUCAGGUUGAUUCCGGUAACGGACGAGAUCUUGGUCUCCGUUUACGAUGCGGAAUUGUGAGGUCAACUCACACAGGGGAGGUAGCCGUUGAAAGCGAAAGCUGAAUAUGGAUGCCAACCUAGGUUUCUGCAAUGUCAAUGUUGGCAACAACAGUGACUGCACGGAGAGACAACUGAAUUAUAAAUCAGAGUAAGGAUAGGCGAUAACAGGUCUGUGAUGCCCUUAGACGUGCUGGGCUGCACGCGCGCUACAAUGAUGACGGCAACAAGCUAUCUGGUCCGAAAGGAUUGGGGAAUCUGGAAUCGUCAUCGUGAUGGGGACUGUCCAUUGUAACUUGGACAUGAAAUAGGAAUCCCUUGUACGUGCACUUCAUUCAAAGUGCGCGGAAUGAGUCCCUGCCCUUUGUACACACCGCCCGUCGCUACUACCGAGUGAAUGGUGUCAUGAUGCGUUGGGAGUGGACGCCGUUGGGGUUAACGCUCGAAUGGUGCUACAAUCAAUG